rnacentral:guide_RNA from 1 species
AAACGCAACUGAGAUAAGUCACAGAAAAGAGAUAGAAAUAUU